rnacentral:rRNA from 1 species
GUGUCAGCCGCCGCGGUAAUACGUAGGGAGCGAGCGUUGUCCGGAUUUACUGGGUGUAAAGGGUGCGUAGGCGGCUCUGCAAGUCAGGCGUGAAAACUAUGGGCUUAACUCAUAGACUGCGUUUGAAACUGUGGGGCUUGAGUGAAGUAGAGGUAGGCGGAAUUCCCGGUGUAGCGGUGAAAUGCGUAGAGAUCGGGAGGAACACCAGUGGCGAAGGCGGCCUACUGGGCUUUAACUGACGCUGAGGCACGAAAGCAUGGGUAGCAAACAGGAUUAGAUACCCUGGUAGUCCAUGCCGUAAACGAUGAUUACUAGGUGUGGGGGGUCUGACCCCUUCCGUGCCGGAGUUAACACAAUAAGUAAUCCACCUGGGGAGUACGGCCGCAAGGUUGAAACUUAAAGGAAUUGACGG